UUUCCUAACCUGCACAUUCCGUGAUAUUGCUUAAUAAUUCGUUUUGCUAAAAGCGCAAAGCGUCACUUUGUUUUCUGUCAUAGAUUUAUUUUGUACAAAAACAUGUCGAUUAAAUGCAUCAAUAUUUGAGAUAGUAGAUGCAUUUUAAACAAUUAAUUAUUUUGUAUAUAAAAACUCGAAAACUUCAAAGUGUUCACUUAUAAGAUAUCUUAUAUUAUACAAGUAAGCAAAGCAAUCACACAAUUUGCGACUGCAAUUGCAAUCUCAAACUGAGUCUUUUAAGUGUUAAAAAAUGGUUGUAUGCUCUGUAUGUUGGCAAGAACAUAAUCCUCUAUUUCCACAGCGGAAAUUUCACAGCCUAAAUUAAAAUUCAAUGCAAGAACAUACACUUAUAGCUUCCCAUCAAAUGCAGAAAAGCGAGAGGAAUGGUUUAAAAGUAUUGGUCGUGUUAUUGAAACUUAUAAGACUGCAAGAAUUUGCAGCGACCAUUUCACAGAAGAUGAUUAUUAUGAUACUGGCACCAUCGUCCAACCUAGAAGAUUAAAGAACACUGCAAUUCCAUCUAUCUUUACCCAAAAAUCUUGUAAGAGAAAAUCAAAGAAAGAUGUUUCAGUAGUCGACAUUCAAGAUGAGAGUCAACAUGACUCAACAAUUGAAAUUCAAUCUGACGAUCAACUUAACUCAGUGUUAAACAUUCAAUAUGACUCUGCAACCGAAGUUCAACAUGACGAUCAAUGCAAUUCAAUAAUCGAAAUUCCAUGUGACUCCAUAAUCAUCGUUCAACGUGAUGACGAUCAGCUUGACUUAACAAUCGAUGCUCAAUAUGAUGAUAAUGAGCAAGAUUCAACAAUCGAAGUUCAACAUAACUCUACAAUUGAAGUUCAACAAGACUCAUCAAUUGAAACGCAACACAAUAAACAUGAGAAUGGACAUGACUCGAUAAUGGACAUUCAAAAUGACAGUGAACAUGGUUCGAUAAUCGACGAUCAACACGACAGUGAACAUGACUCAAUGAUUGACUUUCAAGAGGAUAAUAAUGUUAGCACCGAACCAUUACUUGUCACGAAAAAUGGCAAACCUCAAAAAAGAAAACGAUCUGACAUCAGUUACCUGGACAAGGUUUUUGUAAAGACCGGUGAACACCAGAGAGAAUGUUUAAGAAAAACGGAUUUUGUCAAUGUUCAAGCAUGGACCACGUUUUUAAAAUUUCUUACUUACACCAGACGUUUAAAAAAACGUUCUCAAGAACAAAAUACACACUUGCAGCAUAAAAUUGUAUCAGCGCAGAUUAUGGCGGAGAAGUUAAAGACGCAUUACGCAAAAACAAUGCAUCAAGCAAAUGAGAAGAAUACAUUCCAAGACCAAUUGUGAUUGAGAAUAAAUUUUAUUUAAAACAAAUUACACAUAUUGCGCGUAUUUUAUCGAGCACUGUUAUACGACAAAAGAUUACAUGUGUAAUUUAUUUUAAUAAAACCUACAUGUCUAGUCAGCAC